rnacentral:pre_miRNA from 12 species
GGAGAGCCCUCAAAGGCAGCAAGAAAAAUGAGGGACUUUCAGGGGCAGCUGUGUUUUAUUAACUCAGUCAUAAUGCCCCUAAAAAUCCUUAUUGUUCUUGCAAUGUUCAUCUGGCAUCUCCA